rnacentral:rRNA from 1 species
CGUGACCAACCUCGCCCCAUGCUCCAGAANUAGCUCUUGGAAACGGGUGGUAAUGCUGGAUGCUCCAACUUGACGCAUGUCUUGUUGGGAAAGUGUUUAGUGGCAUGGGAUGGGGUCGCGUCCUAUCAGCUUGUAGGCGGGGUAAUGGCCCACCUAGGCUUCACGGGUAGCCGGCCUGAGAGGGCGGACGGCCACAUUGGGACUGAGAUACGGGCCCCAGACUCCUACGGGAGGCAGCAGCU